rnacentral:rRNA from 1 species
GGGGAAUAUUGCACAAUGGAGGAAACUCUGAUGCAGCAACGCCGCGUGAGUGAUGAAGGUCUUCGGAUUGUAAAGCUCUGUCUUCUGGGACGAUAAUGACGGUACCAGAGGAGGAAGCCACGGCUAACUACGUGCCAGCAGCCGCGGUAAUACGUAGGUGGCAAGCGUUGUCCGGAUUUACUGGGCGUAAAGGAUGUGUAGGCGGAUAUUUAAGUGAGAUGUGAAAUCCCCGGGCUUAACUUGGGGGCUGCAUUUCAAACUGGAUGUCUAGAGUGCAGGAGAGGAAAGCAGAAUUCCUAGUGUAGCGGUGAAAUGCGUAGAGAUUAGGAGGAAUACCAGUGGCGAAGGCGGCUUUCUGGACUGUAACUGACGCUGAGGCGCGAAAGCGUGGGGGGCGAAC